CACUGACCUCCAUACAAAACUCCCUCACUUGGUCUAUUUUCGUGGACAAAUUUUGGGCGGCGUAAACCCUUUCGCUACGCUUCUUCCUCUCGAAUGACCAAACGUCGCCCAUUUACCGUAUUAACUGCACUUGGGGUCAAAACUAAUGACGCAACCUGAGUAAUUACGCGCUUUAACGGAGAACGGACGCGACCACCUGUACUAAUUAGCUAUCUAGCGCCUACUCUGGAAGUGCAGUUCGUUGGAUGGAGGCACCCAGACCUGUAUGGAUCUAUUCAAAUCUGCUACACUUCCCAGGCAACCACAGCAGCAGGAUUGUUUUGAUUAAAAAUCAGCUUUCCCAAGGCAAAGAAGGGGGAUAUGCUGUGAAACCUGUGAAGACAGACCCAACAUACUGCUACGGAGAAGGGCUCCUGGAUCUCCUCUUUAACGAGGUCACCCUUGAUCGAGCACCGCAUAUGUGGAAGCUGUGCUAGCUGUACGUCCCAGGACCCCUGUCGGCCCAGUGUGAGAGGCCUGCGCUGUACGUCCCAGGACCCCUGUCGGCCCAGUGUGAGAGGCCUGCGCUGUACGUCCCAGGACCCCUGUCGGCCCAGUGUGAGAGGCCUGCGCUGUACAUCCCAGGACCCCUGCCGGCCCAGUGUGAGAGGCCUGCGCUGUACGUCCCAGGACCCCUGUCGGCCCAGUGUGAGAGGCCUGCGCUGUACGUCCCAGGACCCCUGUCGGCCCAGUGUGAGAGGCCUGCGCUGUACAUCCCAGGACCCCUGCCGGCCCAGUGUGAGAGGCCUGCGCUGUACGUCCCAGGACCCCUGUCGGUCCAGUGUGAGAGGCCUGCGCUGUACGUCCCAGGACCCCUGUCGGCCCAGUGUGAGAGGCCUGCGCUGUACGUCCCAGGACCCCUGUCGGCCCAGUGUGAGAGGCCUGCGCUGUACAUCCCAGGACCCCUGCCGGCCCAGUGUGAGAGGCCUGCGCUGUACGUCCCAGGACCCCUGUCGGCCCAGUGUGAGAGGCCUGCGCUGUACGUCCCAGGACCCCUGUCGGCCCAGUGUGAGAGGCCUGCGCUGUACAUCCCAGGACCCCUGCCGGCCCAGUGUGAGAGGCCUGCGCUGUACGUCCCAGGACCCCUGUCGGUCCAGUGUGAGAGGCCUGCGCUGUACGUCCCAGGACCCCUGUCGGCCCAGUGUGAGAGGCCUGCGCUGUACGUCCCAGGACCCCUGUCGGCCCAGUGUGAGAGGCCUGCGCUGUACGUCCCAGGACCCCUGCCGGCCCAGUGUGAGAGGCCUGCGCUGUACGUCCCAGGACCCCUGUCGGUCCAGUGUGAGAGGCCUGCGCUGUACGUCCCAGGACCCCUGUCGGCCCAGUGUGAGAGGCCUGCGCUGUACGUCCCAGGACCCCUGUCGGUCCAGUGUGAGAGGCCUGCGCUGUACGUCCCAGGACCCCUGUCGGUCCAGUGUGAGAGGCCUGCGCUGUACGUCCCAGGACCCCUGUCGGUCCAGUGUGAGAGGCCUAACGAGGAGGCGGCCAUAGCUGAUUUGUCUCCCACUUCAAUCUUGGGGGUGACUGAAGCCUGCUUGAUUCAAGCGGGGUAUACGGGUCCCCAUCAAUCUCUGUAGGUGGUUGAGUUUUCUAAAGUCAAAGUCAUAUCACGUAAACGUGAAUUACAUCACACUUUGUAUUGUUUCUUCAAGCAUUCGGACAGGAGAGCAGUGUUACAAAUUGUAUGAGUCAAGGGGUUCUGCACACUGUUGGGUGGCCGGUGCCUAUAUAAGGUAUAUGGCUCUAAUAUAUUUUUUUAAUGUCAAAUGAUGUCUCACCAUUAUUUCGCACCUUCAUUUAUGGUGAUCAAUAUUUUGGUUGUGCUGGCCUAAUUGUAAAUGAUCAAACUAAUGUCUGAUCAAUACAUACAAUUCUGAACAUGUUAUUUAUAAUGCUAAUGAAGAGGCACCAAUACAUUGUCCAGUACACUGAUUAUAUGCUGUUUUCAUAUACAUUCCCUUAUGGCUAAGGUGUCUUGAGCUUUACUAAUUCUUGUGAAGAAGUGUAUCAGUGAAAUGUAUUCUGUAAUUAGUUACAAAACAAUAGUCUGACUAAACUUCAUAUGGAGAAAAGGAAUGCUGUAGUCUAUGUUGGAAACAUAAGACUUUGUUAUUGGACUAAUAUGCAUAAACACAGUGCAACUGUACACCUAGAAUAUGUAAACAUGACACGUCAAGAACAUGAGCCAGUUCUGUUGGCCAUGAGAGCAUUUUGCAGAGAAAAUGGGUUGAGCCUUACAAUUUAGGUUAGGAUUGUUUACCUUGUUACCAGGCAACGACCACAAGGGCGUUUCAAAGAGCUCUCAGUCAAGGCGAGCUCAUGAAUAUAAGCUCUCCGCCCAGUCAGCCCCUGUUCUUUCAGGCUUCCUGACUGUGAGAGAAUGUACCAUUUCUUCAAUUCUGAGCAUUUUAAUGGUGUACAAAUAUUAUGGGUGAUGUUUUGGUCAUGUAAAGGCUAUUUUUACUUGGGGAAAUAGGAUGAUUAUGUGGGACGUUUUUGUAGAAAUAGGCGGGGUUUAGGGUCGUUGACACAAAGUCCUUUUUAAUAUAAAAAAACAGACAAUGCUGACAGAGAAUUUCUGAUUUCUUAAAGAAAAUAGUGAGGUAAUAAACAGUAUCUUUAUAAAUGAUUGUAAAGCAAUAAAUAAAGACUAUACACUGGAUUCUGAGUUAUUAACAAAAGGAUGAAAGUUCACAGUACACAUGGAGAAAUGCCCGUAAAAUGACUAGCCUACAUCCGAAGUCAUGUUUAAUUCAUGUGAAGGGACAGCCUAUAUCCAAAGUCAUGUUUAAUACAUGUGAAGGGACAGCCUAUAUCCGAAGUCAUGUUUAAUACAUGUGAAGGGACAGC
rnacentral:lncRNA from 1 species